GCCGGGUGUGGUGACGUGCACCUGUAGUCCCAGCUACUUGGGAGGCUGAGGUAGGAGGGUAGCUUGAACCUGGGAGGUGGAGGUUGCAGUGAGCCAAAAUCGUGCCACUGCACUCCACCCUGGGCAACAGAGCCACACCCUGUCUCAA
rfam:Gorilla gorilla gorilla genomic chromosome, chr16, whole genome shotgun sequence